rnacentral:rRNA from 1 species
AUCUUCCGCAAUGGACGCAAGUCUGACGGAGCAACGCCGCGUGAGUGAUGAAGGUCUUCGGAUCGUAAAACUCUGUUGUUAGGGAAGAACAAGUAUCGGAAUAAUACGUCGGUACCUUGACGGUACCUAACCAGAAAGCCCCGGCUAACUACGUGCCAGCAGCCGCGGUAAUACGUAGGGGGCAAGCGUUGUCCGGAAUUAUUGGGCGUAAAGGGCGCGCAGGCGGUUUUUUAAGUCUGAUGUGAAAUCUCGUGGCUUAACUACGAGCGGUCAUUGGAAACUGGAAGACUUGAGUGCAGAAGAGGAGAGUGGAAUUCCACGUGUAGCGGUGAAAUGCGUAGAGAUGUGGAGGAACACCAGUGGCGAAGGCGACUCUCUGGUCUGUAACUGACGCUGAGGCGCGAAAGCGUGGGUAGCGAACA